rnacentral:rRNA from 1 species
CCUACGGGUGGCAGCAGUGAGGAAUAUUGGUCAAUGGGCGUAAGCCUGAACCAGCCAAGUCGCGUGAGGGAUGAAGGUUCUAUGGAUCGUAAACCUCUUUUAUAAGGGAAUAAAGUGCGGGACGUGUCCCGUUUUGUAUGUACCUUAUGAAUAAGGAUCGGCUAACUCCGUGCCAGCAGCCGCGGUAAUACGGAGGAUCCGAGCGUUAUCCGGAUUUAUUGGGUUUAAAGGGUGCGUAGGCGGCCUUUUAAGUCAGCGGUGAAAGUCUGUGGCUCAACCAUAGAAUUGCCGUUGAAACUGGGAGUGUGGAUGAUGUUUGAGGAAGGCGGAAUGCGUGGGGUAGCGGGGAAAGGCU